AUCCGAUGGUCCAGGAGAUUAUUUUGCUUUGUUUAAGACUCCUAAUCCCUCUCUAAUCAUGUUUAAGCCCUUUAAAUAGGCUGAUCGGUGAAACAGAGAGUAAGUGGUCUUUUGGUUUUGCUGCAAACCGCCGUACGGAGCCGUACAGAACCCGAGAGAAGAGAGAGAGGCGGAAGCUCUGAGAGAGAAGGAGCAGGAGGCUCCUGGACAGCGGACGCCG
rnacentral:lncRNA from 1 species